rnacentral:rRNA from 1 species
UUGGAGGGCAAGUCUGGUGCCAGCAGCCGCGGUAAUUCCAGCUCCAAUAGCGUAUAUUAAAGUUGUUGCAGUUAAAAAGCUCGUAGUUGAAUUUCGGGGUUAAUAAGUUGGUCGUGCCAAUGGUAUGUACUGGCUUUAUCGAUUCCUACCUCUUGAAGAACUGUGAUGCCAUUAAUUUGGUGUUGCAGGGAAUCAGGACUGUUACCUUGAAAAAAUUAGAGUGUUUAAAGCAGGCUUACGCUUGAAUACAUUAGCAUGGAAUAAUGAAAUAGGACGUUUGAACCUAUUUUGUUGGUUUCUAGGAUCGACGUAAUGAUUAAUAGGGAUAGUUGGGGGCAUUAGUAUUCAAUUGUCAGAGGUGAAAUUCUUGGAUUUAUUGAAGACUAACUACUGCGAAAGCAUUUGCCAAGGAUGUUUUCAUUAAUCAAGAACGAAAGUAAGGGGAUCGAAGACGAUCAGAUACCGUCGUAGUCUUAACCAUAAGCUAUGCCGACUAGGGAUCGGAUGAUGUUAAUUUUUUAAUGACUCAUUCGGCGCCUUACGGGAAACCAAAGUGUUUGGGUUC